AUGACUUUUCGAAACUCCUGAAGAAAUAAUUUUAGCCCCAUUUGGAGAAGUUUACUUUUAUUUCUGUUCGUAUUUAGAUCCACGCAGUGAAAGGAUCAGAGAAUUGAAUAUUUGAAGAUCUGUCUAUUUUAUGGUGAACUGGGGUCGUAUGUAGCAUGUAGAUCCAGCUGAAUCCUAGAAUGGCAAUUCACACCUCCGUCAGACAGACCAACUAAUUUAACCAGUUUUCAACCCUUCUUUGGCUGGCACAGGUCAGUUCUUCCAGAUACCAUAACACCUUACACCAAC